AGGCUUGUAGCUCAGGUGGUUAGAGCGCACCCCUGGUAAGGGUGAGGUCGGUGGUUCAAGUCCACUCAGGCCUACCA
rnacentral:tRNA from 1 species